GAUGAACGCUAGCGGCAGGCCUAAUACAUGCAAGUCGAACGGUGUAGCAAUACACAGUGGCGCACGGGUGCGUAACACGUAUGCAACCUACCUUACAUUGGGGGAUAGCCUUUCGAAAGGGAGAUUAAUACCGCAUAAGACAGUAACUAGGCAUCUAGUAGCUGUUAAAGAUUUAUCGAUGUAAGCUGGGCAUGCGUCCAAUUAGUUAGUUGGCGAGGUAAUGGCUCACCAAGACGAUGAUUGGUAGGGGAACUGAGAGGUCAAUCCCCCACACUGGCACUGAGAUACGGGCCAGACUCCUACGGGAGGCAGCAGUAGGGAAUAUUGGGCAGUGGGCGCAAGCCUGACCCGGCCAUGCCGCGUGCAGGAAGAAGGCGUUAUGCGUUGUAAACUGCUUUUAUACAGGAAGAAACGACCCUUGCGAGGGGCAUUGACGGUACUGUAUGAAUAAGCACCGGCUAACUCCGUGCCAGCAGCCGCCGUAAUAC
rnacentral:rRNA from 1 species